ACUGACCUCAAAUCGAGUAGGACUACCCGCUGAACUUAAGCAUAUCAAUAAGCGGAGGAAAAGAAACUAACAAGGAUUCCCUUAGUAACGGCAAGUGAAGUAGGA
rnacentral:rRNA from 1 species